AUCAAAUUGCCGCCGCCAAAGCUCAAAGUGGCAGAAACCCUAGCCCUCAGCCGCCACACCGCUGACCCCUCCUCCCUCCUCCCUCCUCCCUCACUCCUCACCGCAGCCGUCGUGCCCCUCCCCACGUAGCCCCAGGACCUCCAUCUCCUCCAUGCGUCCUCGCUGCCGCCGCAGCCUCGGCGCACCCUCUCCUUCAACCCCAUGUGAAAUCGAGCAUCCUGGCGGUGCCUUGACUGAUGCACUGUGAUGGCUAGCGCAGGUGAGCGCCACGCAUGGUGCAGCAGGCUUGGCAGGCAGCGGGCGCGGCGGUCAAGGCCAAGGGCACGUCGAGCGACGAUGACCUCAUCCGCCACCAACAACGAGGUUCCAAAAUGUAUCGAAGAUUGCCGGGGAAUUGAUUACACCAUCUGUGGAAUAUGACAUCGCCCUUUAGGAUAAAGAAGUCUAAGCCUAAAGUCAUCAUGGUUGAGGUUGAUAGUAUAUCUGCUGGUGAUAGCGGUGGAGCUGCUGAUCUUAUUGCAAGAUUCUUAUAGUUUGCAUUUGUAAUGGCAGUUAUAGCAGGAAGCUUGAAGAGCACUGUAAAUUACCUAUUUGGUACUCAACUUCAGGAAACCAACAAAUUAGCAGAUACAAGUCCGCUUGCAAUUUUUGGGAGAAUAAACAGUUCCUUUGGGUUCAUCGCUCGGUUUUGUCCCUGCUAUGCUUACUGCUCCUACAUGGCUCUUCAGGGUUAUGGAUGGAGUGCGUUAUUUCAACGGUCCUCUAUUUUUUUUUGUUGCGUGUGCCUUCAGGUCCAUCAGGUAUAAGGCGAGUUGUGUCCCUGGUAGAGGUGCAGAUCAAGGAGGUCGACAAAUGGGAUGAUGUUGGGUGACGUUCACUAAGGAGGAAAAAGGUGUAGGGGUCGUUGUUUUUUUGGCGAUGGCAGCGGCAUACUUCCUUGAGCGAAGAAAGGAAUCCCCAGCCUGAAGCUUCGCACAGAUUUUGCCUAUUCUCUGAGAUGGAUGAUGAUGAGCGGUGCAACCGAAAAUUCAGAGCUGAGCUUUACACACUUCAGUGGGAGUGGCAUGACAACACCAAGGUAGAGACCUGAAGAGAAGCACAGGGACGGACCAAGGAAACUAGAACCACGCUGUCGUGAUGUGGGCCGUGUCGUCUUCGUCCAUCUCCAUGGAGGUAUAUAUAAAUAUAUAGGUUAGGUAUAGGAAAUGAGACCAUCUCCAUGGAACUCUGACUGAUGUGUAAUGUCCUCAUAGGACCUGACCGACCAAACUAAACAUUCACUCUAUAGUUUUCAUUUUCUCACUUAUCAUCAAUACGAUUUUUUUGUUUAAAACUUAAAAGUCAAACCUGGAUUUACCGCUUGUGUCUACUCCAGUGUGUUAUAUUCUUCAGAAUGUCUUUAUGAGCAAGAACGGAUCAAUCAUAAAUUUUCAGAACGUCUCUAUUGAGUUUUUUCCUUCUAUAUCCUAUCUUCUCAGCACUUCUAGAAAGAGGUCAGACCUCCUAAUUUUUUCUUUUGUGUUCCCCAUGAUUCCGGUCCUUAUAAUUUAUCUGUUUUUGUAACAACUUUUAGCAUGUCAUAACAUUUAAUUAUGCGCUCUUAUAUUAUUAUAUUCUUACAAUCUUGUGUUUUGAAUAAUUCUUGUGACUUGAAGUCAGAACAGUUUUAAAUAUAUCCAAAGGAUGAUAAUCGUCCGUGUCAAGUUGAGUGCACGAGAAAGAUAGAGAAAAAAUAAAGGUGAAAAGGGUCUGAGUACUGUUUCCUCACUUUUCAUGAUGUGAAUGUCCUUUAAUUCUUGUUAUUUCUAUUAAAUAAAGUAAAAUAUACUCAUGUAUAUUAAGUACUUUAAUGCAUAUUUUGAAAUUUUGUGUUCUACAGUUCAAUCAAUGAGACCAAUAGUUAGUGUAGAAACAUAUUAAACAAUUAUAGAUGUUGCCUGCACAUGAGCGCGCCCAUGGAGAAUCCAAAUUGUAUUAGAGAAAGCGAAAAAUAAUAAUUCUCAUGUUUGAGGUUCAGUUUCAUACUGGUUGCAAUUUCUUAUAGAUAGGUUAUUUUGUUGUAGGAUAAAUGGAGGUAAUAAGAUCAUAUGAUACUAAUGGGCUUGCUCUAAUCCCAAAGCUCAUUAGUGUUGGGACCAUCUUGAAAAUUAUGCUUCCACCUAUUGAUUUGUGUUGCCUUAGUUUGUUUAUAAUGUAACCAGUCCAAGGGCUGACGAGUUUUCGAGCCCUAUGACCUUUUUUUAAGAUUGAGCCCUAUGACCUUUGUACACUCAGCUUACGUUCUACAAGGUUCAUGUGUCGUGCAGUGUUCUCGCUUUCCAAGCUACAGUCUUAUAUUAGUUUACAGAGGGAGAGAAGGAGUACUUGAAAAGAGAUUCUUUAUAUAUUGUUUGGUUCCAUCAGCCAUAUAACCUAAAAUAGCAAUUAGGUAUCUACACAGUGUAGUGUAACCAUUGUGCUUGCUGCAGUUUUACUUUAGUGUUGAAAUGCUUUUCUUAGUUUGUUCUAUAAUACGAAAUAUUUUUUUCCAGCCAUUGUUUUCUAAAUCCUAUCAGCAUAUUACCUGAUAUGGCCUUUGAAGUUUCUGUUUUAUAACGAGCUUUGCACUGGUCAGCUUGAGUAUGGUAUGGUUUAUUCUUUUCUGUUGCGGCUAUUCCAGAGAAGUUUAGAGCUCCACAACCUUCUGAAGACUUGAUUUACAGUAGCGGUGAUGAAACAAUCAAUCAAUUGAGAUUCAUCACAUGAUCUUUUUCUCUUGACAUUGAUGGGUAUCGAACCCAUAGAUCAACUUAUCAAUGGAUCUCUUGUCAGUGUUGAGAAGGUGUCACAAAAACUCAAGAGCAGUUUUAAUAUGGUCUCUUACCUUCUUACCUAUCAUGUGAAAAGAGAGGGUAAGAGGGACCAUGUCAAAAUUAGCCAAAACUCAAACACAGGGCAAUCAGCUAAGGAAAGAAGCUAAGAAGCAUCAGAAAAGGCUUUUAGGAUGGUAUAGCGGUUAAAUGCAUCCUAGGAUUGGUACUUUUAAGAAUUAUGGUGUGUUUUGCUCCUUUUUUGUUUACCUUAGCCACAUAGGUUAGCCUCAAUUCAUUAUUAUCCUUCUAUUUAGAGUAGGUGCAGAACUAACACUUACCUAGGUUGUGAGAGCUGAUGAUGAUGAUUCUAUUAAAACUCCUUGCUAGCUGCACCGUUUGUCUCUGUAAACAAUAUAACUAAGGGCAUAUGGUUUCCAA